GAGAAGGAGACUUCUUGGCCAUGUGUGGUCAGUAGUUUUUUCCGAAUCGUUGUUAUUGACACACGUCCCCGUGUUUGAUGUUUGAGGUGCACAAGUCGGUUUUGCCUAUUGUGAGGGGGUGGUACCCUUGUGCAGCAUCAUUUAUGGGGGCCAUUCGUUGAACAAUGGAGUGCUCAACGGAGUCUUGAGGAAUGGUGGGCUUUGACGGCAAACCACUGUGGUGGAUUGGCCUAAAAAAGUUUGGUUUGUUGAUUUAAUGGAGAAUCGGUGAGACCAUUGACUGACUUUGAGGACUUGAACUAGCUCUGUAGUGGGGGCUCUCAGAGGAAUUGGGAGCAUGCAAAGCUUGUGAAGGUAGCCAAGUCAAUGGAAUUACUUUGAUGUCCCUGUUGAGACAAACCCAACACUGAGGUGAGUGUUGCUGCCUAUGUUUGUGUGGGGGAUCUCGAGAUGAUAUACUGGGUUAUUUGUCUCGAGGUCUUGGUAUCUGUGGCCAUUAUUCUAGGAUGGUAGUGGGAUUUUUGGCAGCACAACUAGAUUGGGACCUGCGCUUUUGCAGACGGGGGCUCUUGUGAGGAAACGAGAGCCUGCAAAGCUUGUGACACAUCUUGAGUUGUGUACGAGGGCCACAAAGUCAUGCCAUCUGAAAAAUAAUGGACAUUAGAUUACUAACACUGUGGUAGUUGCUGCCCCAGCAACAUUUUGGUGGGGCCCGGGAAGCACUCUUUACCCUUCCUGAGGGCCCAAGUGGUGCGAGACGAAGGGAUUGGCUUGGUCAAAAGAGAGGCGCGGAAGUCCUCAGGUGAGCCAAAGUCUUGCACUGCGACUGCACUAAUGUAGCAUCGAUUUUGCAAGCAAUAUGCCAACAUGCUCUUGACAUCUCGAUGUAUAUUUUCUACGUGUGAAUUCGUAGUGAAAAAUAGUCAUAUUGGGGACUAGAGUGGCUCUGUGAUUCAAGGAUCAUGGAUACCACUCCGCGAGACUAAAGGGAGUGAAGGUGAGCUUGCCCCAACAGAGCAUGGCUUGAGGUGUGCAAGGGUGCAA
rnacentral:rRNA from 1 species